UACGAAGGGGCUAGCGUUGCUCGGAUUUACUGGGCGUAAAGGGCGCGUAGGCGGUCGUGACAAGUCACUUGUGAAAUCUCCGGGCUUAACUCGGAACGGUCAAGUGAUACUGUCGGACUAGAGUACAGAAGGGGCAACUGGAAUUCUCGGUGUAGCGGUGAAAUGCGCAGAUAUCAGGAGGAACACCGGUGGGCGAAGGCGGGUCUCUGGGCCGUAACUGAACGC
rnacentral:rRNA from 1 species